AUAAAAAUAGCUUAAUAAAAGUUCUUUAUUUACACUAAAGUGAUAUCAAAAAUGAUUUUUUUUAGA
rnacentral:tRNA from 1 species